rnacentral:rRNA from 1 species
UCACGGUCCACUUCGGUGGCGCGCACACAGGUGCUGCAUGGCUGUCGUCAGCUCGUGUCGUGAGAUGUUGGGUUAAGUCCCGCAACGAGCGCAACCCACGUCCUUAGUUGCCAUCAUUCAGUUGGGCACUCUAGGGAGACUGCCGGUGAUAAGCCGCGAGGAAGGUGUGGAUGACGUCAAGUCCUCAUGGCCCUUACGGGAUGGGCUACACACGUGCUACAAUGGCGGUGACAGUGGGACGCGAAGGAGCGAUCUGGAGCAAAUCCCCAAAAGCCGUCUCAGUUCGGAUUGCACUCUGCAACUCGAGUGCAUGAAGGCGG